UACGGGGGAUGCAAGCGUUAUCCGGAAUGAUUGGGCGUAAAGGGUCUGUAGGUGGUCGAUAAAGUCCACCGUUCAAUACCAAGGCUUAACCUUGGGGCAGCGGUGGAAACUCAUCGGCUUGACUACGGUAGGGGCAGAGGGAAUUCCCGGCGUAGCGGUGAAAUGCGUAGAUUUCGGGAAGAACACCAAUGGCGAAGGCACUCUGCUGGGCCGAAACUGACACUGAGGGACGAGAGCUAGGGGAGCGAAUGGG
rnacentral:rRNA from 1 species